UUAUUUUCUCCUUGCGAUUUUAAUUUCGAUCUUUGUAUGAAUGCCAGAUUUGAUCUUUAGGUCCAGCUCUCUCCUGUUUCUUCUUUUACUGCUACUUCCAGGAGAAUCUUUUUUUCUUCCAGAAAAGCUUUAGGCAGAUACAGCCGCGUGAGCUUGAUGCUAUACUUUGUUUGGUUGAAUAUAGUACACGAUGGUGGAAUAGGGAAAUUAACAAACAUUGGGAGAACACUAUAGCAAGAUCACAUAACUUUUAAUGCAGCUUUUCAUCUUUUCUUCCAUUACUAUAAUGGAAAUUCCUUUAGAGAUGUUAGUUUCGUUUAUUUAGAUUAUGUCAUUUAGGAGUUUGAAGAUAGUUCUAGUUUCACUUAAACUUAGAGCAAUGUUUAUAAAACUUCUGUGGGCCUUAAAGAAACAGCUGAUGCAUUUCCAGGACAGCCAAUUUGGAAUUCAAGGCAGACCAAACGCCUCACACCAUUUAAACAGAUGAUUCUCCCGGUGGACAGACGGACUAGCGAGAAGAUAGCCAGGCCCAUCACACUUCGGGUUUUAAUUCAUCCCUUUCACAACUUAGAAUAUUAUCACUUCCAAGUGUGGUCUAUGGAACUCCAGAAUAAAUAUCUUCUGGCAGCUUGUUAGGAAGGAGGACUUGAAGUCACCACUCCAGACUCACUCUGUCAGUAUCUGCCUUUUAACAUAGAGCUCCAGGUGACUCAUACACACAUGAAAGUUUAAGAAGCACGUUACAGAUCACUUCAGUUGCUCCUGACCAUCAUCUUCAAGAUCUUUCCACCUCCGCCUUUCUACUGCACUCACACAAACAACCGGGGAACCUUCGGUUAAUUCAAGCGUCUGCACUGCUGAAGACCAGUAUACAGAGCCACACAACGUAGAGGAUUGUUGCUGUCACGUAGUCAUGAUCUCGACCACACACGGACCCUCACCGCCUCCUUUUGAAGUGUCCCUUGCAAAUUCCAGGUCGCAUUACCAAAAAAAGCAUUUGUCAUUUGCACUGCUCUCCUCUUUACCUGUCUCAGCCCAUCUCACUCUUUUCUGAAAGAAUGUGCAUUCUUCUCCCUUGAGAAAAUAGGGACUUUUCAGACUCAAAGCUUCUCGAUUUAUUGCCUCCUCACCUCCAAUCUCAUACUCACCCACCUUCUUCUCCAGUGACACAGAAGGAAACAUUCUUGUUCUUUUCAAGGUUUUACUUCUCCAUCUGUGCCCCAAAUCUCCACUCCUCCUGUCUCUUCUUGAACCACAUCAUCAACCACUGCUUGUUCUCCAAAGGCUUUCCCUUAAGUAUCACUCACUUAGAAUCCUAUUGAUUUCACCCUCAAGGCUCAUUAAAAAAAAAAAAGACUUCAGAUAGCUUGUAAAGAAAUUAUUUUGUCCUUCUGGAAUUCAGCUACACUCACCUCCAGUCAUCUGAAAGGACACCAAACUGUCACUCUUUCUAAGAAGUUACUCUUAAGCAUGCUCUUUCCUCUCAAGCCAGUUUAUGGCUUCCUUUGCUGAGCCCUCAUCAUAGCAGUGCAUGCCUUUAUUACAGCAUUUACCAAGAUGCAUUGUGGUUAUUCCCAUGCCUGCCUCCAAAAUAGAGACAGUGAAGAAACCAAAAACGAUAUUCCUGGCACCGAACCCCAUUUCUGGCAUAUGCUGGAUGCUCCAUAAUGUUUACCGAAUAGGUUAAUCGAGGCAGCCAAAUUCUGACAUUCUGGCACUGGUCCCCUGCAGUUUCCGAUCUUCACCAGCCCUGCCCCACCGUUGAGCUUCGCAUCUUGCAACAUACAAUACGCCUGUAUAACCGGAGGGUAUGUUUUCUGGGGCGGAGAACAGUAUGCUGUAACUUCCGGAAACCAUGGUUUUCCUUCCUGUACAUCCAUUUCAAGCUUCUUUUCUGCUAAAUGAGAAAGAAAAGUCUACUUUACUUGUAGUUUUAAUUAGCAUGUCAAAUAUUUUGUGAUUUUUAUGGCUACCAAGUAAAUUUAGUUCUCUACACCUGAA